GACGAACGCUGGCGGCGUGCUUAACACAUGCAAGUCGAACGGAAAGGCCCUGCUUUUGUGUGGUUCUCGAUUGGCGAACGGGUGAGUAACACAUGAGUAACCUGCCCUUGACUUUGGGAUAACUUCAGGAAACUGGGGCUAAUACCCGAUAUGAUCUCCUGCUGCAUGGUGGUGGUUGGAAAGUUUCGGCGGUUGGGGAUGGACUCGAGGCUUAUCAGCUUGUUUGUGGGGUAGUUGCUUACCAAGGCUUUGACGGGUAGCCUGCCUGAGAGGGUGAACGGGCACAAUGGGACUGCGAUACGGACCAGACUCGUACGGGAGGCAGCAGUGGGGAAUAUUGCACAAUGGGCGGAAGCCUGAUGCAGCAACGCCGCGUGCGGGAUGACGGCCUUCGGGUUGUAAACCGAUUUCGCCUGUGACGAAGCGUGAGUGACGGUAAUGGGUAAAGAAGCACCGGCUAACUACGUG
rnacentral:rRNA from 1 species